rnacentral:rRNA from 1 species
AACGAACGCUGGCGGCAGGCUUAACACAUGCAAGUCGAACGCAUCCUUCGGGGUGAGUGGCAGACGGGUGAGUAACGCGUGGGAACGUGCCCUUCAGUUCGGGAUAACCCAGGGAAACUUGGGCUAAUACCGGAUACGUGCGAGAGCAGAAAGAUUUAUCGCUGAAGGAUCGGCCCGCGUAUGAUUAGCUAGUUGGGGGGGAAAUGGCCCACCAAGGCGACGAUCAGUAGCUGGUCUGAGAGGAUGAUCAGCCACAUUGGGACUGAGACACGGCCCAAACUCCUACGGGAGGCAGCAGUGGGGAAUAUUGGACAAUGGGCGCAGGCCUGAUCCAGCCAUGCCGCGUGAGUGAUGAAGGCCUUAGGGUUGUAAAGCUCUUUCGUCCGGGACGAUAAUGACGGUACCGGAAGAAGAAGCCCCGGCUAACUUCGUGCCAGCCGCCGCAGUAA